rnacentral:rRNA from 1 species
UACAGAGGGUGCAAGCGUUGUUCGGGAUCAUUGGGCGUAAAGGGCGUGUAGGCGGUUUGUUAAGUCAUGUGUGAAAUCCCCCGGCUCAACCGAGGAACGACGCAUGAAACUGGCAAGCUAGAGUACCGAAGAGGGGGGUGGAAUUCCCGGUGUAGCGGUGAAAUGCGUAGAUAUCUGGAGGAACACCGGUGGCGAAGGCGGCAUCCUGGACCGGCAUUGACGCUGAGGAGCGAAAGCCAGGGGAGCAAACGGG